CCUACGGGAGGCAGCAGUGGGGGAUAUUGCACAAUGGGGGAAACCCUGAUGCAGCGACGCCGCGUGUGGGAAGACGGUCCUCUGGAUUGUAAACCACUGUCCCCAGGGACGAAGAUGACGGUACCUGGGGAGGAAGCUCCGGCUAACCACGUGCCAGCAGCCGCGGUAAUACGUAGGGAGCGAGCGUUGUCCGGAAUUACUGGGUGUAAAGGGAGCGUAGGCGGGACUGCAAGUUGGGUGUCAAAUCUACCGGCUCAACCGGUAGCCGCACUCAAAACUGCAGUUCUUGAGUGAAGUAGAGGCAGGCGGAAUGCCUAGUGUAGCGGUGAAAUGCGUAGAUAUUAGGAGGAACACCAGUGGCGAAGGCGGCCUGCUGGGCUUUUACUGACGCUGAGGCUCGAAAGUGUGGGGAGCGAACAGGAUUAGAUACCCGGGUAGUC
rnacentral:rRNA from 1 species